UCGAGAGGCUUUGGCAAUGGGGGAAACCCUGACCAAGCGACGCCGCGUGGGGGAUGAAGGCCCUUGGGUUGUAAACCCCUUUCGACCGGGAAGAAAGAUCGCCGGGUGAACAAUCCGGCGAUUUGACGGUACCGGUAUAAGAAGCUCCGGCUAACUCCGUGCCAGCAGCCGCGGUAACACGGGGGGAGCGAGCGUUGUUCGGAAUCACUGGGCGUAAAGGGCGUGUAGGCGGUUCGGUAAGUGGGAUGUGAAAGCCCUCGGCUCACCCGAGGAAAGUCAUCUCAUACUGCUGGACUUGAGUGCGGGAGAGGAUGGAGGAAUUCCUGGUGUAGCGGUGAAAUGCGUAGAUAUCAGGAGGAACACCGGUGGCGAAGGCGUCCAUCUGGCCCGUUACUGACGCUGAUGCGCGAAAGCUAGGGGAGCAAACGG
rnacentral:rRNA from 1 species